rnacentral:rRNA from 1 species
ACCGGCGGAAGGGUGCGUAACGCGUGAGCAACAUGCCCGUAUCAGGGGGAUAAGCCAGGGAAACUUGGUCUAAUACCGCAUAAUAAAUAUCUAAGGCAUCUUAGAGAUUUUAAAGCUUUGGUGGAUACGGAUUGGCUCGCGUGACAUUAGCUAGAUGGUAAGGUAACGGCUUACCAUGGCUACGAUGUCUAGGGGUUCUGAGAGGAAGAUCCCCCACACUGGAACUGAGACACGGUCCAGACUCCUACGGGAGGCAGCAGUGAGGAAUAUUGGACAAUGGAUGGAAAUCUGAUCCAGCCAUGCCGCGUGCAGGAAGACGGCCCUAUGGGUUGUAAACUGCUUUUAUACGGGAGCAAUAAGGCCUACGUGUAGGCUGAUGAGAGUACCGUACGAAUAAGGACCGGCUAACUCCGUGCCAGCAGCCGCGGUAAUACGGAGGGUCCAAGCGUUAUCCGGAUUUAUUGGGUUUAAAGGGUGCGUAGGCGGUUUUAUAAGUCAGCGGUGAAAGUUUUCAGCUUAACUGGAAAAAUGCCGUUGAUACUGUAGAGCUAGAAUAUGGUUGCUGUGGGUGGAAUGUGUGGUGUAGCGGUGAAAUGCUUAGAGAUCACACAGAAUAUCGAUUGCGAAGGCAGCUCACAAAGCCAUUAUUGACGCUGAGGCACGAAAGUGUGGGGAUCAAACAGGAUUAGAUACCCUGGUAGUCCACACUGUAAACGAUGAUAACUCGCUGUCGG